CGACCGGCGCACGGGUGAGUAACACGUAUCCAACCUGCCGUCUACUCUUGGACAGCCUUCUGAAAGGAAGAUUAAUACAAGAUGGCAUCAUGAGUCCGCAUGUUCACAUGAUUAAAGGUAUUCCGGUAGACGAUGGGGAUGCGUUCCAUUAGAUAGUAGGCGGGGUAACGGCCCACCUAGUCUUCGAUGGAUAGGGGUUCUGAGAGGAAGGUCCCCCCACAUUGGAACUGAGACACGGUCCAAACUCCUACGGGAGGCAGCAUG
rnacentral:rRNA from 1 species